CCUACGGGUGGCUGCAGUUAGGAAUCUUCUGCAAUGGGCGAAAGCCUGACAGAGCGACGCCGCGUGAGGGACGAAGGUCUUCGGAUUGUAAACCUCUGAAACAGGGAAGAAAGACACCGACGAGGUGGGAUGACGGUACCUGUGUAAUAGCACCGGCUAACUCCGUGCCAGCAGCCGCGGUAAUACGGAGGGUGCGAGCGUUACCCGGAAUCACUGGGCGUAAAGGGCGUGUAGGCGGGAUGUUAAGUCUGGCUUCAAAGACCGGGGCUCAACCC
rnacentral:rRNA from 1 species